rnacentral:lncRNA from 1 species
CAAAUCUGCUGUUCUACCCCUGAACAGGCAGUUAACCUACUGUGGAAAUGCCAGACAGUGUUCUUCUUGGUGCCAUCAAACUGAAUUCAGAGGAUGAUAAUGAAAAUAUGGAUCUCGCAUAAACAGUCGUGUGACUUCGUUGGUUACCAUAGCAACGUUCACGCAAACUGGUCAAUCGGCCCUUGUUGGUCAGUCAGCUUUGCACAACAGUGCCACAAUUGCAAUUUGACAGGCAGUGCUACACCUGGCUACCUACCCAACCCUGCAACUUUGAGAAGUCCAGUAUUGUCUUUCUCCUUCCUAACAUACCAUUCUGCAGAAAGUGUCCUACGUCUUGUGUUGGGAGAAUGCACUGCCUUGUGUACAGAACAUACAAUAUGUUACAAAGAGAGUGGAGGCUAGAGGCUUAAAACCACUAGUUUGAUACACUAUUCAUACACUCUGCUAG